rnacentral:ncRNA from 1 species
GGCGCGAGCGUUGUCCGGAAUUAUUGGGCGUAAAGAGCUCGUAGGCGGCUUGUCACGUCGGUUGUGAAAGCCCGGGGCUUAACCCCGGGUCUGCAGUCGAUACGGGCAGGCUAGAGUUCGGUAGGGGAGAUCGGAAUUCCUGGUGUAGCGGUGAAAUGCGCAGAUAUCAGGAGGAACACCGGUGGCGAAGGCGGAUCUCUGGGCCGAUACUGACGCUGAGGAGCGAAAGCGUGGGGAGCGAACAGGAUUAGAUACCCUGGUAGUCCACGCCGUAAACGGUGGGCACUAGGUGUGGGCAACAUUCCACGUUGUCCGUGCCGCAGCUAACGCAUUAAGUCGCCCCGCCUGGGGAGUACGGCCGCAAGGCUAAAACUCAAAGGAAUUGACGGGGCCCGCACAAGCGGCGGAGCAUGUGGCUUAAUUCGACGCAACGCGAAGAACCUUACCAAGGCUUGACAUACACCGGAAAACCUGGAGACACGGUCCCCUUGUGGUCGGUGUACAGGUGGUGCAUGGCUGUCGUCAGCUCGUGUCGUGAGAU